GCUUCAAUCCAAAGAUUGGGGGUUCAAGUCCCCCCGCGCGUGUUGUUUUGUACCGGAUUCCACGGAGGUGAUGGAACGAGACGCACUGUCUGGACAACACUUAUGCGGUGCUCAACACAACGGCUGAGUGAUUCCCAGCACGAACGCGUACAGGUACCGCUGGUUGUGACCGAACGCUGUAGACUCGGGAUCCGGGUUGUCCGUUGAACUGCCGGGAUGCGCCUCGCGACAACGAGUCCCAAGUUUGGAAAACGUCCACGAAUAUCACUCGCUGUCGAUAGCGGCUUGCGAGUCGCUUCCGCUUGCCGAAGAAAGUACCGACACUGCACCAGUGACUUUCGCACCAGACUAGAGGUGCUCCAAAGGCGCUGCAGCCUAGUUUAUGAGAUGGUUAUCCCUAGAAAAUUGGGCAGAACCUGGAAUCUCCCUGGACGUCACGGCGUUUGAGCAUCGCAUGCAGCUGAUCACGUUUCACCGAGGCGUAACUGAGCGUACGCUCGAACUGGGAAACCAAAACGAAACGACGACUAAACUCGGAUACGAAACGUUUUGGCAAAAGCGUGCCAGGCAAGCCGCCUCUCUAUCCUACGAAACCAAACGCACACGACUGCUAUUCUCGGACUCGGAAUUUUUUCAGAAACGCGUACCGGACGAUUACCCGCGUGCUCCGGGUCCAGGAAAAGUCACACACUCGUUGUUUCCGCGUUGCAGAUUCCGCAUCGAUAGUCUCACCAGGGCACGGUUCCCUUCCGAUGGGUAUCGAAGCGAUCAUUCUUUGUGAUCUGCGGUACGCUUACAAAGUCCGUGAAUGCGCGGAGGAAGCACGUACAGCUUCUCGAGUUGAUCAGCGGACGGCAGCGCCACACGCAAGCACAUACACACCGAGAGAGACACCAUGGCGACAGCGUUCGCCAUUUCGUCGUACCGUGCCACCACGUCGUCCAGUCGGACACGAGUCAUUCAUGUCCAGCGCAUGUAUGCCGAGUCGAUAUCGAAGUAUUUUCAUCGCUUUAAGAAAGAUGCACGUUUGCCUUAGUAUCAAUAGCCAUGGCAUCUGGUUCCGUUUCACCGUCUUCAUCAAGGUGAAAUUCGAGCAGAAUGUCGUCGGUUUGUGCCAACAGCUCAUCCGUGACACGUAGAUGGUCACGAGGUUGCUCCUCGGUGUGCGCUGCUGGUGACUCUGACGCCAUCGAAUCUGGCUCGGGGAUGAUGAUCCCCGUCGGCUGAACACGCGCGCGUUUUUCACGCUCUGCGGCUAGCAACUGCUCCAGACGAAUGACUACAAAAUUCGGUACCUUCAUGGCGGCUCCGACGUCGUUGGCUUGGCGCCAGUUCGAAAUCGCAGCGAUGUCGUCCUUCAGGCGUGCAACCAAAACAACGAGGCGUUCGCGCAGGAAUCUCGAUUUGCUGGAACGCAGUAAGCGAAUGAGCUGCUUCUGGAUUGGGAAGGCCAACUCGGGAAACGCCGAUUCUCGUACGUAGAGCGUCAACCAAUUCAAGAGCGAGUAGACAACUUCGUCUACAACAGCUUCACCGAAAUUGCUGCUUUGAAGCACCGCAUCCUGGAUGCGAAGCAGACGAGGCCAGUCGAUGACGGGCACCUCGCGCCGGGCUGCGCCCUUUGUCGUUCGAUCACAUUCAACUUGGCCGAGCAUUUCGAGCAAGGACGCGCAGAGUGGGACAUAGCUAUGCACCUCUCCAGCGAGACGAAGAAGCGCACGUAUGCAGGCAAAGCGUGCCCCGAAUAGGCGCGCGCUCCGCAGGCCGUCAAUCAGAAUGAGCACGAUUUGCAGGUACGGGAAGCGAAGCGAUGCCAGUUGCUCGUGAACGGCAAGAACAUGGGACCACCAUUCAACAGCAUGGAUGAAGGACCAGUUCAGAAUGGCCUCGCAAUCGCAACCUCGACCAGAUGACAGUGCUUUGCGCACCUGGAAACCCAGUUCCUGAACUUCACCGAAUGCAACGCGGUAGGAUGCAUCACCGGACUCGGCGAAAAGCUCCCGUGCGCUUUGUAGGCAGAAAUCCAUCGACGCUGCUGUUCGCGGAUUCCGGCUCUUAAAUGUUUGCGUGAACGUCCGAUAGCAUUCCCGCAGUACGACCUGUGCGAUACACGGUUGAAGGUUGCCGAGCAAGGCGCGUAGCGUCGCAUGCACCUGCGAGCGAAUCAUGAUGAGCUCCUCAGGGCGAGCCCAGAUGAUAGUGAGAUCGCGGAUCAGGGUCUUGCUCCACUUGGGCAAGAGUGGUAGAAAAUGUGCAAGCUUUUCAAUUCGACGAAUCAAGUAGCACUUGGUCAGUGGAUCCCGAACCAGCGCGAACAAGGAAGAAAAGCACAUUCCAUAUGAGAGCAUGAGCCGCCGGUAUCGCUGCCACUCUGGAUCGUUGGGAUCCAGGUCACGCAGUUUGGCUCCCAGGUGGCGCUGCAGCACAGCGGGCACUGCUACAAUAGCGAAGAGCAUGACACGAUGUCUUGCAUCAGCAUCAGCAAACGAUCCGAUCCGCGCCUGGUCGCUGUUCCCAGCUGGUACAUCCCGUUCACGCACCAGGUGAGAGAGCACGCUGACCAGCCUUCGCAAGGCGGCCAUGCGUUUCGACGGGCGCAUAAGUUCGCGGCGUAUGCGCUGUAUCCAGGAUACGUCGAGGCGCAAUCGUUUGGCGUCAUGUCGCGUGGGACGUGUCGCAGACUGCUCUAGAGCAUCGAGGCGAUGCGCUUCGUAUGUGUCGCUUGUGGCAUGAUCUGCAGGUCCCGAUGCCGAGCUGGACGCGUCUGACGCUGCGCUCGCCUGGUCGGAUUCGGCACUGCUGCUAGCGUUCCCAUCGGCCACGGUUGCCUUGCUUGCCUCACUUUCGCCGAACCGCAACAGCGCAUCGUCAUGUGAUCGCAAAUAGGCAUAGAAUUCAGGGUCCUGCUUCUGAAGGUUGACCAGCUCUUGCUGAUGUGCCGCGACUGGAUCCAAGUCCACGAGACUGGUUUCAGUCUCGUAGUCUUCAGAGAGUCCCGAAGUGCCCGAGGCAUUUCUGGAGUUGUUGUUGCGUUGGCGAGCUGCCGGCGCUUCUAGAGCUCUUGUUGCACCAGCGAAGGCGCCACCAUCGGCCGCAAGUCGGCGUCGUUUGUGGCCUGUGUGGUCUCGUUUUAACUCGCGCUUGCGUCGAGCGUCCAACGAGCCUUUUUGCGGUGCAUCCGAGGACAGCGUACGCUUGGAGGCUGAGUGGCGACGCUUCGGUUCCUGCCACGCCACACGUCCAGAGCGUUUAUAGAGUUCUUGAGGAGGAUGCUUCGAUCCCAUCGGCGAGCUUUCUCCUUCAAGUUUUAGAAGUGCAAGACAAAAAUCUUGUUUGUGACGUCGUUUGAUCCAACCUAGUGCACGGCGGGAGAAACAAUAUUCCCUGUCACCCGAGCGGAGCUCCGCAGAAAACUGACUCACUUUGAUCUGAGGCUAACAACGGUGCCUUGCCUACAGGUAUAAUCCGUGACCUGCGAGGUUCUCGCGAGAGCCUGAUCGCGCCUGGUGACUCGAUUCUCUUCGGGCCCUGGUGAGGCCGCCUCACAGACUCGCCGCGCUCACUGCUCCGGAGUGAUCAACGACGAUGCGGUAAGACUCUUAUGCGACUUCUUCAAACCGUACAGCACUCAAUCCCUCUGAAAAAUUAUCGCACCAGAGCUGCAGCCCGUAGGAAAGCAACGUGGCGAGCACCGACCCUAAACGGCCAGGUCUAGCGAAAACACCG
rnacentral:misc_RNA from 1 species